AUUGAACGCUGGCGGCAGGCCUAACACAUGCAAGUCGAGCGGAUGAAGGGAGCUUGCUCCUGGAUUCAGCGGCGGACGGGUGAGUAAUGCCUAGGAAUCUGCCUGGUAGUGGGGGAUAACGUCCGGAAACGGGCGCUGAUACCGCAUACGUCCUGAGGGAGAAAGUGGGGGAUCUUCGGACCUCACGCUGUCAGAUGAGCCUAGGUCGGAUUAGCUAGUUGGUGGGGUAAAGGCCUACCAAGGCGACGAUCCGUAACUGGUCUGAGAGGAUGAUCAGUCACACUGGAACUGAGACACGGUCCAGACUCCUACGGGAGGCAGCAGUGGGGAAUAUUGGACAAUGGGCGAAAGCCUGAUCCAGCCAUGCCGCGUGUGUGAAGAAGGUCUUCGGAUUGUAAAGCACUUUAAGUUGGGAGGAAGGGCAGUAAGUUAAUACCUUGCUGUUUUGACGUUACCAACAGAAUAAGCACCGGCUAACUUCGUG
rnacentral:rRNA from 1 species